UACGAAGGGGGCUAGCGUUGCUCGGAAUCACUGGGCGUAAAGGGUGCGUAGGCGGGUCUUUUAAGUCAGGGGUGAAAUCCUGGAGCUCAACUCCAGAACUGCCAUUGAAACUGUUUAGCUUGAGGAUGAGAGAGGUGAGUGGAAUUCCCAGUGUAGAGGUGAAAUUCGUAGAUAUUGGGAAGAACACCGGUGGCGAAGGCGGCUCACUGGCUCAUUACUGACGCUCAGGCGCGAUAGCGUGGGGAUCAAACAGG
rnacentral:rRNA from 1 species